AGCCAUUGUUUCUGGCUGGGGUCUACACUCUCUUCCACUGAACAUAUAGCAAUGAGCUAUGACAUCAUCAGUAUUCACUAAGCAGUAUUCACUCUCCAGUGAAUCCUCCUUUUGUACUUUUUCAUGUACUUUUUUAGUAAAUCUGUUCAACAACAGACGUCACAAUUUAACUGCUAAGUGUGGUGUGCGCCAAUGCUGCUGUUCAAAAGACCAUAUAGUACAUCUGCUGCAUCUGUGAAGAGUAACUUCCUGUUUGUGUUUCUUUCUUUUCAUUUUUGUGAAGGGUCGGUGCUGCUAAUAAGAGGUCGGAGCUGAGGUGGACGUCCAGUGGAGCUGUGGGUUUAAACGGGGGCAGGCCGCCCACUUAAACAACAGUAUAUCACUGUCAACCAUGGACUGUGAAAGGAGGAGGAGGAGGCAUGCUGCAGGAGCAGCUGGACCUCCUCCUCCUCCACGGGUGCUGGGAGCAGCCGAGGAGCUGGUGCUUCUUAAUCAAGGCGUUCUCGUGAAAUGGGCAGAGGAAGGAAAAGGCAUCCAGCCCAGGAGGGUGGAGCACGGGUCUCGGGCAGUCCGGCCUCUGUGCUCCUCUGUUCUCCUCUGUUCUCCUCUUUUCUUCUCUCCUCGCAGGCUGCUGUGUCUCCUCAGAUGAAGGAGUAACAGGAUUAAAGCACCGUGUCGCUGUGAUAGGGGAGCACGGAGUGACGAGACGGUGGCUGAAGCAUGGCCCAGAGUCUGCUGAUGAUAAAGGCGGAAGGGGUCUCCCGUCGUUCAUUCAAAAACUGGGAAAACAGAAGAUGAAGAACCCCAACAGAGAUUUAAGGCUUAAAUACUGACCAGCUGAGGCGGAGGGAGAGUGUGUGUGUGUGUGCGUGUCUGAUGUGUUGCAGUUGUACAGAAUGGCCACACUCACCAGGAUCUGGCAACCCAUCCCCCAAGCUCUGGCCGACUGCACAGCUGUGUUGUGUUUGGAUUAGGCCAAGAAUAAAACAGGAAGUCAAAAUUAAACAAAAAGUCCAACACAGUCUCACACACUAAAAGACUCAGCAGCACGACUGACAGCCUGGCGUGGAUAUACGAACUGCCGUUUGAACGGAGUCCUGCUCUGCCUCCCACGGACGCUCGGCCCCGGCAGCACCACGCACAUAUAGGGUUUGAGUGUGCGCACACACUCAAAGUCAGACAUAUGGUGGCGCUAUAAACACACCUAAAUGGCCCUGGACUGUGAAUUUACUAGACCGCCAACCGAAAGACAUGCCUUGGCCAGUGCCCCCCCACCUUGGGUACUAUAGAGGUAAGUGGACAUUUAAGACAGUGUUGUUAGAUCAUUUAUUACUUUUUCAUGCAGUGUUCAAAUGCCCCUCCGAUGUCACUACAAAGGCAACAGCAUGUUUCAACACUCACCCAGUUCUCUUUUCUUUAAUCUUGUUUUACACCAUUUACAUGUAUUUUAUUUAUUUAAAACCAUUAGCAGAAGUGUUGGCUGGUGAAUGUGUGAACUCACUCGGAGUUAAAUCAUCGGUGUGGUUUCUCUUUCGCCGCUUAUGUGCACACUGAAUAGCCUCAGAGAUAGCACGGGGUGACUUCAGUGAAGAGGAAGUGGAAUAAGGAAGAAGAAGAACAAUGAUGAGAUGUUUGGAAAGGCAUGGCCACAUGUGAUGUACGUAAAGAGUAGCCACCAGGUUAGUCCAGCUGGCAAGGUGGAGCAGGGUGGAAAUCCGCUGAAGUGCUUCUCGUCAUGAGUUGGAUGGACAGUUAAUGAAAUACAGUAAACGUUUUCAGAUGUUGUUUUUACUGUCAGGGACUUGAGUCACUUCGUGAGUCACGCAUGUCUGCGUGUGUUUUUGUUGACGCGGUUAUGCCAGCUUUCCUGACAGUUUGUGUGUGUGUGUGUGUGUGUGUGUGUGUGUGUGUGUGUGUGUGUGAAUAAGAAAAGCACAUGAAAACACUUAGCCUACUGCUGUCCACACUGGCCCCUCCCCUUUCCUAACACACUCACACACGUAGACCUAAAUAUCGCAACCAAAAACAGUACAUGUAACUCACUAUUUAUCCCCACCUCCCAUUUAUAUAUUAAAAUAUAUUAGGAAAUUUGACA